UACGAAGGGGCUAGCGUUGUCCGGAUUUAUUGGGCGUAAAGAGCUCGUAGGCGGUCUGUCGCGUCGAUCGUGAAAACUUGGGGCUUAACCCUGAGCUUGCGGUCGAUACGGGCAUGACUGGAGUUCGGCAGGGGAGACUGGAAUUCCUGGUGUAGCGGUGAAAUGCGCAGAUAUCAGGAGGAACACCGGUGGCGAAGGCGGGUCUCUGGGCCGAUACUGACGCUGAGGAGCGAAAGCGUGGGGAGCGAACAGG
rnacentral:rRNA from 1 species